UUUAGCCGGAUGAAAGGAAACUUUCACGUCCGAUUUUUAGGGGGGGGGGUGGGAGAUCCUAUCCCAAU
rnacentral:ncRNA from 1 species